rnacentral:lncRNA from 1 species
CACAUGUGAUCAUGCGUUUCACAUGUGAAUCACAUGUGUAAGGAAAUACACCUGUGAUACAUGCGUGAUUUCUGCAUGUAAAAGGCAUGGUGCCUGUAUUAAAUAUUUUUCAAAAUGUAUUCGUAUUUGUCCAAUUACCAUGAUCGUUGACAUGUAUCGAAGUUCUAAUGUGAAUUAAAUGGGUUAUACAUGGGUUUUCCAUAUAUGUACACAGGCAAAUUUUGUUCAGGUAAAUUUCAUGUGAGAUUCACCUGAAACAAGCUUAUACAUGAAACUCGCGUUCAAUUAAUGUGAAUUGAGCUCAGCUAACAUGAAAUUCAUGUUAAAUUUUUCAUGUGAAGCUAACCUGAAUCAAGCAUUCAUAUUAAUUUUUUUUAAAUGAAAUGAAGGUGAAUUGAGCACCAAUCACACAAAUUCACAGUAUUUGAGCAUAUUUUAGAUAAGUCAAUGCUAAUCUAUAUAUCUAGUGCAC